rfam:Schistosoma mansoni, Puerto Rico, WGS project CABG01000000 data, contig: 0134
AUACUGCUGAGGAGUCGCACAAUAAGUCGAAACGGCCGUCCAGUGC